AUUGAACGCUGGCGGCAUGCUUUACACAUGCAAGUCGGACGAGUGGCGAACGGGUGAGUAACGCAUCGGAACGUACCGAGGAAUGGGGGAUAACUGUCCGAAAGGACAGCUAAUACCGCAUAUUAUUCGAGCGGCCGAUGUCUGAUUAGCUGGUUGGCGGGGUAAAGGCCCACCAAGGCGACGAGCAGUAGCGGGUGUGAGAGGAUGAUGCGCCACAAGACGGCUGAGACACGGCCCAGACUCCUGCGUGAGGCAGCAGUGGGGAAUUGUGGACAAUGGGCACAAGCCUGAUCCAGCCAUGCCGCGUGUCUGAAGAAGGCCUUCGGGUUGUAAAGGACUUUUGUCAGGGAAGCGGUACCUGAAGAAUAAGCACCGGCUAACUACGUGCCAGCAGCCGCGGUAAUAC
rnacentral:rRNA from 1 species